rnacentral:tRNA from 1 species
GUGGCUCAGUGGUUAAGAGCGCUUGUUCUUCUAGAAGACCUGGGUUCAAUUCCCAGC